UUGUGGAGGAGGACGCCGAAGGUGGGGCUAAUGACUGGGGUGAAGUCGUAACAAGGUAGCCGUACCGGAAGGUGCGGCUGGAUCACCUCCUAACAGGGAGACAACAAAAUGUUUAAUAUUAUUAUUUUGUCACCUUAGGUCGAUCGGUAUCUCACGUUCUUAAUUUAUUAAGAAUUUCAUUUUCUAAGUUUUUCUAGGUCACACCCAUUUUUUUCCUGGGCCAUUAGCUCAGGUGGUUAGAGCGCACCCCUGAUAAGGGUGAGGUCCCUGGUUCAAGUCCAGGAUGGCCCAUAUCUCUAUGUUGGGGGUAUAGCUCAGUUGGUAGAGCGCCUGCUUUGCAAGCAGGAUGUCAGCGGUUCGAGUCCGCUUACCUCCACUGAUUACCACCUCUUCCAUAACUGGUAAAAAGGAAAUGUUUUGAGUUGUGAUCAAAUUCUGAAAGAAUCUAGCUUCCUAAUGAAAUCAUUAAGAUGCUGGACUCAUUGAAUUAAUUUCUUUGUUUUCAGAGAACCUUGACAACUGCAUAGAUUAUUUUUAAAGACAAUAAGCAUCUUUAAUGAUGCAGAUUUAUUAUUUGUGCGAAUGCAUUAAUAACAAUUCUAUUAAGCUGAUGCUUCAAUUUUUGAAGUUAUUGGUCAAGCUACAA
rnacentral:misc_RNA from 1 species